UGGGGGAUAUUGCACAAUGGGCGAAAGCCUGAUGCAGCGACGCCGCGUGGGGGAUGAAGGCUUUCGGGUUGUAAACCUCUUUCGCUAUCGAACAAGGCCCGCUUAGGGUGGGUUGAGGGUAGGUGGAGAAGAAGCGCCGGCUAACUACGUGCCAGCAGCCGCGGUAAUACGUAGGGCGCGAGCGUUUUCCGGCAUUAUUGGGCGUAAAGGGCUUGUAGGCGGCUUGUUGCGCCUGCUGUGAAAACGCGGGGCUUAACUUCGCGCGUGCAGUGGGUACGGGCAGGCUUGAGUGUGGUAGGGGUGACUGGAAUUCCAGGUGUAGCGGUGGAAUGCGCAGAUAUCUGGAGGAACACCGAUGGCGAAGGCAGGUCACUGGGCCAUUACUGACGCUGAGGAGCGAAAGCAUGGGUAGCGAACAGG
rnacentral:rRNA from 1 species